GAUGAACGCUAGCGGCAGGCUUAAUACAUGCAAGUCGAGGGGCAGCAUGAUUGUAGCAAUACAAUUGAUGGCGACCGGCAAACGGGUGCGGAACACGUACACAACCUUCCAAUAAGUGGGGAAUAGCCCAGAGAAAUUUGGAUUAAUACCCCGUAACAUAACGAUGUGGCAUCACAUUGUUAUUAUAGAUUUUUCGCUUAUUGAUGGGUGUGCGGCUGAUUAGAUAGUUGGCGGGGUAACGGCCCACCAAGUCUACGAUCAGUAGCUGAUGUGAGAGCAUGAUCAGCCACACGGGAACUGAGACACGGGCCCGACUCCUACGGGAGGCAGCAGUAAGGAAUAUUGGACAAUGGACGCAAGUCUGAUCCAGCCAUGCCGCGUGAAGGAUUAAGGUCCUCUGGAUUGUAAACUUCUUUUAUAAGGGACGAAAAAAGGCUUUUCUAAGUCGUCUGACGGUACCUUAUGAAUAAGCACCGGCUAACUCCGUGCCAGCAGCCGCCGUAAGAC
rnacentral:rRNA from 1 species